GCUAGGAUAGGGGGUUCUUGACUAGCUAAGGGUGUGGUUUUUGGUGGAGUUUUUGGUUUGAAUAUGGAGAACGUCUUACAAUGCUUGAGGGGGUGAUCAAAUUUUUUGCAGUGGAAGCACCGCAAAAGAUUGCGGCACUCAGAUUUGAGAUGGUUUGAGGCCCCACAGCGAAAACAGCACCCCAUUUUAAAAGCCAAAGGAUGGAGGAAAGCAGGAGGAGGAAUGGGAUUUGAAAGAUAUUGAUCGAAGGUAUUGAGCGGCGCAGACGCCGACUGCAUGGAGGAAUGAUGAUUAGCCGAAUUGUCGUUCUGCCGAACAAAAG
rnacentral:lncRNA from 1 species